UAUUUUGCACUAUUGCGGCAGAAGAAUUAUUUGUUUGCUCCGUUCGUGUCUUGUUUAUCGAAUUAUUCUUUGUGCAAGUGUACUUCUAUUUGUAUGUGUAUGUGUGUGUGUGUGCGUUAUCCUGAUACCUAAAACAUCAUUAUCCUACUAGCACCUCAGACGACAAAAAUUGUACUACUGCACAUGUUGAUGUAGGCAGCUGUUUACGGGAUAUAAUAUUGCUGCCAUUACUAUACACGAUUUGAUUGCCUAAUCGUACAAUUUGAUGUACUCAGCAACACCAAAGAUCGACUAGUUUACCCAGUCAUGGCUGAAUGGGUCUCUGACCAGUCUUUCGACAACAUCGUUUUGUACCCGAACGAAAUGGUGGAGCUACCGCCGACGAGUAAGGUCGUGUGGUCAUUAGCCGACGAGGACAUGACCUCUGGGCAGUGCGCCGAAGAAUGCAUGAAGGAGGAAUGGUGUUCCUCCUUUUUUGUCGACUUCAGUAAAAACCUGUGCCUUCUGCACGAGGUCGUCUUCUUCACUCCUGAUACAGGAGGUCGUAAGGUAUCUGCCCCUGGUGCCAGGUACUUCAGACUAGUUGACAGUCGCUGCAACUUAAGCAAAGGGCUGUACCGCUGGCGGGAAGAGGAUCUGUGCUUCAAGCUGCUCCCCCCAGGCACGAUAAAACAAGGGCCUUCCGAAGAUGCCGAUGCCUAUUGUCGGGAUAAGCUUGGAGGCAGCUUGAUAAAGCUAUCAACAAUCCGCAGGACUGAAUGGAUUAGAAAAAUCUUGCUUCAAUGGCACUCUUCUUCAAGUUCUCGGUCUGUUGCCAUCGACUUUGUCAAGGGUAAAAUACCUGCGCAAAUCUGGUGUCCUGCCAAACUUUCUGUCGUUAUUGCGCCCCGUAGUAUCCCAGUGCUACACGAAGAAUGCGAUUUUAAACUAGAAUAUAAAGGCUAUGAAAAGGGGUUCUACUUUCUGUGUGAAAUAUUUUAGAUAAUAAAUACUGUGAGUGUACAUCCUCUUAAUUUCAGCUAGGUUGUUUUAUAUUGUUACUUGUAAUCUUCACAAUGUUUGUGAUCAACCAAACUGUAAUAAUAAUUAGUAUAGUUACACGCUAACAGUUUGGUGACGGCAAUAAACGAUUUAGAAGAGACUUCACUCCGUGUUUCCAUGUCUGGGUCUUUUCAACCUGUCAUCCACCUUUCUCUCUCUCUACACUUUAUACUGCAGUCACGCUAUAUACAAAAUGCGCUCAUGAUAAUGUACACAUGUACAAUCACAGCUCGUUACCUUGCCAACCCCACCUCUUGCCAUAUUGUAUGACAGAACAGAUUCCUCCAACUCUUAAUUAAACUACAGGAUAAAACCUGCUCCAGGUAUAAUGAAAUUGCCGAAGUCACCACACAGACAGCUUGCUAACUAACAUGACAACGUGAAUAGACUGUAACCUGCCUUCUCAGAUUUGACAUGAAGAAACUAAAGCAGUUGGACGAAAUAAUGAAUUCAACGUUAAUGAAGGAUACACAACACACUGACAUGGCAUUAAUCUCGUAAUGUUCUUUUCCAAUUAUAAACUAAUAAUAAUCGCAGAGUACUUAUAAGGCGCAUGACCUAUGGAAUGUUGACUCCCAUAGUGCAAUCGCUGGCACCGUUACUUGUGACGUGGCAGACAGGUCCACUGUCACUGCCACUGGGGACUGUGAGAUGAUGCCGAUGUCACUCUGUGUUGUACAGUAGCAGUAUGUAACAAUUAUGCAAACAUAAUUACAUUUUCGUGGGAAAAUGCUGUCAUCAUGUUCAGGGUUUCUACUUUCAUCCUGAGCUAUGAUACAGCUCCGAAAUGAAGAGCGUCAUUCAUCCACGUUUCCAUGGCAUCAGCAUUUCCGAAACUGUUUACUUCAUUCCCAGACAGCAAAAUAACAAGUUCGACUCUAAUACAAGUAAAAACAAGUUAAUGGCACGAUAUGAAAUGUUUCGCCUUGGAAAGAAAUUUCUGGAUCACGUGAUGAAAAUCGUUACGUACUGAAGGUAGUGAGGCAGCGCCCCCUAACGAAUAUAGUGUGAUGACUAAAAACUGAUGUUGUACAUGACGUCGACGUAUCUGUUAAUCUGGCGUUAGUGAUAAUUAGUGUCUAGAAACAUCAGAACUAGAACACAUCUUUAUUAUAGACACUAACAAUGUUUCUCAACACCUGGUGUGGGUCGCUGAGGAUACAGCUGACAUUUUGCAUCUUUCUUUCUAUGUUUUCGCUUGAAAUGGGGAAGGAAUGCAACGACACGUAUAGUUCAGUCAUCGACUGGGUCAGCGAUCCUUCUUUCAACGACAUCAUCGUAAAACUCAGCGAUAAUGUCAUUCAAAAACCCUGGUCUGCCACUGUGAAAGCAGGCAACUUGACUACGUGCGCCGAAAAGUGUAUUCAGGUACCUGAGUGCUCCUCCUUCUUUGUGGACAUCCAGGGCAAAGAAUGUAUUCUACAUGAAAUCAUUUUCCUCUCGAGUGAUGCCGGAAAUCAAACGGUGGUUGCCGACGGUGCCAGGUACUUCAAGCGAUCUGAAGAUUCGUGUCCUGCCAGUGAAGGAUUCUUCCGCUGGCGAAGUGAUGGACUGUGCUUCAAGGCUUUUCUAAACGUUUCCCUGCCAACCUUCCAGUGAUUUAGGGAGUCGUAUUGCAAGGAGAAAGUCAAGGGCGACCUGCUGCGAUUGAAUUUCAAAACAAAUUUCAUCUGGUUUUUGAAAGUUCUAAUGCAACUUCCACCUAAAUAUUAUAACUACGCUCGAUUUAGGGACCAGACCCUCAGACCACACAUGUGUCGAAUCCCAGUACAAAACGACAUACAGGUUGGCUCGGAACUGGACUGUUUAUACCUAAAAGACGACAGUCUACUCAGACAAGAGGAAAAUUAUAACAUCUUCUGUGAAGUGUUUUGAUUCCAUGAUUUAAUGAAAUUAUUGAUAAAACGUCGCAUUUGGUUGGAAUGAAAAUGUUCUGAACAGUUACGAAUUAACUUUACAUAUAUUACAAUCUAUGUCAACUGAUCUAUAGUAUAUAUAU